rnacentral:rRNA from 1 species
CGUAGGGUGCGAGCGUUGUCCGGAAUUAUUCGGCGUAAAGGGCUCGUAGGCGGUUUGUCACGUCGGGAGUGAAAACUCGGGGCUUAACCCCGAGCCUGCUUCCGAUACGGGCAGACUAGAGGUAUGCAGGGGAGAACGGAAUUCCUGGUGUAGCGGUGAAAUGCGCAGAUAUCAGGAGGAACACCGGUGGCGAAGGCGGUUCUCUGGGCAUUGCCUGACGCUGAGGAGCGAAAGUGUGGGGAGCGAACAGG